GAUGAACGCUAGCUACAGGCUUAACACAUGCAAGUCGAGGGGAAACGAUAGAGAAAGCUUGCUUUUUCUAGGCGUCGACCGGCGCACGGGUGAGUAACGCGUAUCCAACCUGCCCACCACUUGGGGAUAACCUUGCGAAAGUAAGACUAAUACCCAAUGACGUCUCUAGAAGACAUCUGAAAGAGAUUAAAGAUUUAUCGGUGAUGGAUGGGGAUGCGUCUGAUUAGCUUGUUGGCGGGGUAACGGCCCACCAAGGCGACGAUCAGUAGGGGUUCUGAGAGGAAGGUCCCCCACAUUGGAACUGAGACACGGUCCAAACUCCUACGGGAGGCAGCAGUGAGGAAUAUUGGUCAAUGGGGCGAGAGCCUGAACCAGCCAAGUAGCGUGAAGGAUGAAGGCUCUAUGGGUCGUAAACUUCUUUUAUAUGGGAAUAAAGUUUUCCACGUGUGGAAUUUUGUAUGUACCAUAUGAAUAAGGAUCGGCUAACUCCGUG
rnacentral:rRNA from 1 species